rnacentral:rRNA from 1 species
CACGUGAAACCCAUCAGGAGUAAACGGAAAAGAUUCGAAGUUCCAAAAUGAGAGAUUCACGUCUUCUCGAUUACAUCCUUAUUAAUAUUAGGAUGGUCUAUUGCCCUGCUUGAUAUUUUUAUUAAGGUAGUGGGAUAGGUUACCAUUAUUAAUAACGAUUGUUGAUUGGGGGACCGCACUUCUCUUCAUUUAAAGAACGUCGCAACCCGUUUGGUGACGGUUUAAGAGCCAAAUAAGAGCCUGAUUUUAAUGUUUUACCGUUUGGUACAGUUUUUAUGUCAGAUGUUUGGUUUUCUUUUUAAGAUCGUUGUCCAGGUGGAAUCAAACAAUUAAGUGUUGAACCGCACUUGAAAAGCGUCAUUUAUUACAUUGUGCAAGUUGUGAUAGAUAAGCUCAAAUCGGUUCAUAUCUGUUCCGUUUGAUUUACUUCUAAACUGUUAGCAUAAUGAUUCUAUGACAGAUUUGUUCAAAACACUUGUUGGCGGCGCUAAAGAUUCGGAAACUUUUCCGACCCGUCUUGAAACACGGACCAAGGAGUCUAGCGUGUACGCAAGUCAAUAGGUGCAAAACCUAAAGGCGAAAUGAAAGUGUCAAAGGAAAGUUUUUUUUGAGCUUUUCUCAUUGGGAAGAUGGGAGCUCCUUGGUAGUAAGGAUUCCUCGCACUCCUAGGGCGUUUCGUUCUCAUUGCGAGUUGAGACGCACCAGGAGCGUACACGCUGGCACCCGAAAGAUGGUGAACUAUGCCUGAUCAGGAUGAAGCCAGGAA